AGUGAACGCUGGCGGUAGGCCUAACACAUGCAAGUCGAACGGCAGCACAGUAAGAGCUUGCUCUUACGGGUGGCGAGUGGCGGACGGGUGAGGAAUACAUCGGAAUCUACUUUUUCGUGGGGGAUAACGUAGGGAAGCUUACGCUAAUACCGCAUACGACCUACGGGUGAAAGCAGGGGAUCUUCGGACCUUGCGCGAUUGAAUGAGCCGAUGUCGGAUUAGCUAGUUGGCGGGGUAAAGGCCCACCAAGGCGACGAUCCGUAGCUGGUCUGAGAGGAUGAUCAGCCACACUGGAACUGGGACACGGUCCAGACUCCUACGGGAGGCAGCAGUGGGGAAUAUUGGACAAUGGGCGCAAGCCUGAUCCAGCCAUACCGCGUGGGUGAAGAAGGCCUUCGGGUUGUAAAGCCCUUUUGUUGGGAAAGAAAAGCAGCAGGUUAAUACCCCGCUGUUCUGACGGUACCCAAAGAAUAAGCACCGGCUAACUUCGUG
rnacentral:rRNA from 1 species